rnacentral:rRNA from 1 species
UACGUAGGGAGCAAGCGUUGUCCGGAAUCAUUGGGCGUAAAGCGCGCGUGGGUGGCUUCGUAAGUCCGUUGUGAAAGUCAAAGGCUCAACCUUUGAAAGCCGAUGGAUACUGUGGAGCUAGAGUACGGAAGAGGCGAGUGGAAUUCCUGGUGUAGCGGUGGAAUGCGCAGAUAUCAGGAGGAACACCGAUGGCGAAGGCAGAUCUCUGGGCCGUAACUGACGCUGAGGAAGCGGAAAGCAUGGGGAGCGAACAGG